CUUGGGGGUCCGCGGGCCUGCUCUGGGGGUGGAUUUCCUUUUCGACUCGAGGAACUUCAGCAUGGCUUCUAGCGCCUGUUGAACGGUUUCAGAAGCAGGUGUCGAACGGACGUCUAAUACAAAACGUAAGAUACGUGGACGAUCAGGCUACCUGGGCGUGGUCCUCCUCGCUGUCGGACACCGUAUCGCUGGACUCUGCGGCCGCUCCUCCUGCGCCGAUGGCCUCCGGUGUGCGGAGGACCACGGCAUCGUCGCUGCCGCUCUCGUCGCUGGAGCUAUCCGAGGCCUCGGGCCGGGCGGGCGGGGGCUCAGCGCAGGGGUGUGGAGCCUGAACCUAUAGGAACCAACGAGCGGGUUCAAAGAUCAAAUGGAGCCAUGAGUCAUAGAAAAUGUCCUCAAAAUAUAAGCGAUGAAAAUACUUUAAAUAUAUAUAUAAAUAUAUAAAGAUUCAUGCAAAGCUGGCGAUUAUCUUUAAUGACAAUAAAGGUACAUUUAAUCUUGGCGGGACAGGUAAUGGUAACAAUUCAUUUUUUUCUUAAUUUUUCUGGUCAAUUGAAGUAAUUUAAAAUGUUUUUUUUUGGUGCUAGAGCUAUGAAUGCCUCUGCAUAUAUUCUCAUUGCAAGUAAAUGCCAGAAAAAAAAAAUAAUCAAAAAGAUAUUCGUAAUAUUGUGAUGCAAUAUAAAGAAACACUUCUUUAAAGAAUCGGAAUACGUAUCGACCUCGGAAUGCAAGCAGCCUGGAGCUGAAAACACGAGCUGAUUCCAGGGCCUAACAGCACCUCCCAACAUGCGUACCGUAUAACAGCCCCCCCCACUGUUCCCCCCCGCUGGAGUCUUAGCGGGAGUGGUCCGGCCGAAGAAGUCCCGGAUGGUUGUCAUGGGGACGCCCCCCCCUCCCUCGCUGGACCCAGGGCCGGGCGCUGCAGAGGGGUGGGGGCCCAGAGGGGCGGGGCCAGUGGCUGCAGGGGGGGCGGUCUUGGCUGGUGUGUGAGCCUUUCCUAGUGGUGUGGCGGCAGCAGGAGAAGCCUUCCUAUUGGCUGACGGCGUGGCCGCCUGUUGGUUCCCAGGCAGCAAUCCCUCGUCGCUGUCUGAAGACGACUCGCUGCUGUCGCUGUCUGCCUUCCUGGGGCCUCCAGCGGGGGUCCUGGCAGCGGGGGUCUUGGCGGCGGGGGUCUUGGCAGCGGGGGUCCUGGCAGCGGGGGUCUUGGCGGGCGUGGCGGCAGCCAGCGGGGUCUUCUUGGCUGAAGAAGCAGCUCUGAGCGCUUUAGUCUUGGGCGCCGGUGUGCCUGGAGCAGCCGGGCUGGUGGUGGUGGUGGAGGCCUCCUGCGGUGGAUCAGCGGCUCCAUCUUCAUCACUAGACUCACUGCUGGACGAGGCCGGGGGUUUGGACUUGGUAGGACCAGCCGCUGCCUUCACUGGGGGUUUGACAGCCUGGGUCGGGGUGGUCGGUCUCGCUGGGGGCUUUGUUCUCUGUUUUUUCAAACGUUGGAAGAAAAUCAGUGAGGAAUGAAUGAUUAGAUCAGAAUCAGAAAUCAGAAAUACUUUAUUGAUCCCCGGGGGGAUAUUGUUGUUGUUGUUGUUGUUGAUCAUCGCUGUCAUGAAUUGGAAAAGCCAUCAUUAAACUGAGCAUGAUGUUCCACAACACCUCACCCCUGUAGUUCCCUCGUCGCUCUCUGAAUCCGUAUCACUGCUGCCACUCUGUGGCUUGCUGGGAACUGUAGUUUUAACUGCACUCCCACGAGUCUUCACCAGAGUUUGAUUCGAUAAUUUUUUC
ensembl:lncRNA